rnacentral:tRNA from 1 species
GUUGAGAUAGUAUAAAUUAUUACACUGGUCUUGUAAACCAGAAAUUGCACUGUCAUUUCAACU